AUCUCAUAUCGUUUACUUGUAUGGGUAAUGUAUUUCUCUCUAAAAUCAACCUUAUACUCGUUUGGACCAGUUGACCACCUCCAAAUUUGUUUUCCUCGAAUUCUGCCCUGUCAGGCCAAGAAUUUAUACAAUUAAAGUAAAAAUAGGUAGUAGAUGUAUUUUUUGGUGGUAUGCUGGAAAAGCUGCAUAGAAUCUUUGACGUAACAUAUAUUAAUCCUAGCUGCAGUGUAUUGGUAGAUUGCAGACGAUAUUCCACACAAUCUAUAUUAAUACUACUUCUACUUCAAUACUCGGGACAGUGAGGGCAAUACUUUUUUUUUUUCAAAGCUUUUUUCUCCUUGAAGAGUAGUUGCUGUGUGGCAACAAAAACAAAAGAAAAUGCAACGGACCCAGAAAAAGAAGGGUUAAAGUUGAAGUUGUCCUUUAAAGUCUUUUCAGCCAUUGCAGUGCUUGAAUUUCAAUCUUUACUCUGCACUGGAGAAAAAAAUAACGAAUUUCAUCAAGAGAGAGUUGGAAACUAACAGUUAUGCUCUUUGCAGUGAGAAGGAUGCGCUGUGGACUCUUAAUAGCAAUUUGAACUGCUAAAAAUUCAUCUUUAGGUUAUAGAACAGGAAUUUUUUGUGAGGAUGCUAUGUCGCUUGUUAAAUUUUAACACUAACACAUUUGCAAGUUCAAACUAUGAGGACUUCACCAUCAAUGCUGGAUCAGGGUCAAGAUUAGAAGCAUUGCCUUUAUUAUGUUUGUGUACUCCAAAGGUUUACUUAUGAAACUGAAGGAUUUGAUAUAAAGGAAGCUGAAUCUUACUUUU